CUUGCCUAAUUUAAUAACAGCAUACAGCAUCUUGAAUCUUUGCAGUGGUUGUUCUGUUCCUCCUAAAGAAUGUCUGGGAUGUUGACACAGAGUUUUAUUUACUUUGUUGUGCUGCAAUGUCCGGGCACCAAAGGUCCACCACCUAAUUUUGCCCAAAAUGAUCUCAUCACCAUCUGGCGCCGGAUCCCGGCAUAGCUGCGUGCUACGGAGUCAUCGGGCUGCCACGGAGCGCUGCGGUACCGCAAGAUCCCGACGUGCAACUGUCACAGCGUCAUGACAUCAGAACCGGGCUGUAUCGUGUCAUGACACCAGGCCCUGAUGUACCAGAGCAGCAUCCCACUGUUAUGGUGCAACAUCCUGGUACCAGAAACGAUAGCACAGUUCCCUGGUACAUUGUUAUCACGCAAUAAUGUCCCUUUGUCUUGCCUAGUGGCUUGCUUCCAUGAGUCAUUUUCAUGUCACAACGUAGCACUCUAACACAGUCGCAUGUUGCGACACGGUGUCGUGACAGAGAACUUUUGCUCUCAGCCUUGUCUCAUCGCUCCUUAGCAUGCCUGUAACAAGCCAGGCCCUGAGCUUGGAAUCUGGGAAAGGCAGGCACUACGACAGGGGGACGGGCCCUCCUUCCCUCGCAGCGCUGCUCGCUGAUAUUGUGCUCCCUUGUCAGCAGUUUGGGAAGUUCCUAAUCUAGCAUAGAUGGGUACUACUGUGGAUCUUCUCCGAAAAAUAAGAAUCAAAUGACUAAAGAAGUCUUUCAGGGACAAAAGCAAGCUGGUAGCUGAACUUGAUAGCUCAACUUGACAUCCCAUCACUAGGAUGCUGAGCAAAAGUCUGCUCUUGGGAGUUUUCUUCUUUCCAGGUUCCUUCUGCCUUGCCUGUGCUCUUCUGUUGCUUGGAAUAUUUCUGAGUGCAAGGACCUGCUCUGUGAAGCCUACAGAGAAAAUAAAGGCCAAAGGCUCUACCUAAAAAUAAAUCUGUAAUUCAUUUUUCUGCUAGUGCCUGUGGGUGAGAAUAAAACCUCUCAGUGUUCCAACA